CCCACCUUGAUGAUGAUGGACUGAACCACUGAACCUGAGCCCAUCAGUCCAAUCUGCUACGGAUGCACUGACUCUAUUGGGGCACUGCCUUCUCAGCCACAGCCACCUUCAAAGCUGAGCCACCCAGACCCUGCUGGCCACACUAACAGCUGUGCCUGGUAGAUCCGGAUCUGAGAAAUGGCGCCAAGGCCACGGCAGAAGCAGAACGGACUGUUGCCGCUGCUCCAGAGCCAUGGAAGUGAGGCCAUCCUGUGUGGGUAAGAAAGCCUCAAAGAAACCACAGAAAGUCAGCCCAGUAGCCCUGGCCCAAGUGAGUUUUGGGAGCUCCCAUGGUGCUUUGGGUCUCUGGGUUCUAAUCUGUCAAAUGUGUAAUGGGCCGGUUUUCAGGUCAAUCCGCACAUCUGUAUAAACAACCAAUUUAUUCUUCAUUUUUAUAAAACUGAGAAAAUAUACAUUCUUUUGAAAUAUUUCACAAAAAUAUACUUUCAUGUCAACCAGAUCUAUUGUAAUCAAUUUAAUUUACCAUAUAAUAUUCCUUUCUAGGACCAUACUUCAUGUUAAAGAAUAUUCAAUUUUUUCUCUAUUACAAA
rnacentral:sRNA from 1 species